AAAAACUAAAUAAAAAGAAGAAAAGAA
rnacentral:sRNA from 1 species